UUUGCCACUAAUCAUUAAAAAUUGUAUACUUUAUAGAUCCAGUAGACAAUGUGAUGAAGAACUUGCAAGAACCAUCUGAAGUUAAAACAGAAAAGAAGGAGCCAGAAUAGGUAGUUUAAAGUUUCAAUUACAAAAUCUAAAACGUCUUGGACACCUCAGUGAGCAUUGAAACCAACGCUUCUGUGGCGGAUGUCAUUCAGAACUUCAGAAGUGUCAGUUUUGAAGUCUCCAUCGAUGCAACUUUUUGAUAAUGAUUCAGGAAUGAAGGAGACGUUUAAGAUAUGAAUAUGAGAAUAGAUGGGUUUUCUGGUUAAAAUU